rnacentral:rRNA from 1 species
UACGGAGGGUGCAAACGUUGCUCGGAAUCAUUGGGCGUAAAGCGCGCGUAGGCGGCGAGGCAAGUUGGAUGUGAAAGCCCUGGGCUCAACCUAGGAUGUGCAUACAAAACUGCCUCGCUUGAAUCUCGGAGGGGGUCAGGGAAUUCCCGGUGUAGAGGUGAAAUUCGUAGAUAUCGGGAGGAACACCAGUGGCGAAGGCGCUGACCUGGACGAUGAUUGACGCUGAAGCGCGAAAGCGUGGGGAGCAAACAGG